rnacentral:rRNA from 1 species
GAUGAACGCUGGCGGCGUGCCUAAUACAUGCAAGUCGAGCGAACGGACGAGAAGCUUGCUUCUCUGAUGUUAGCGGCGGACGGGUGAGUAACACGUGGAUAACCUACCUAUAAGACUGGGAUAACUUCGGGAAACCUUAGCUAAUACCGGAUAAUAUUUUUAACCUCAUGGUUCAAAAGUGAAAGACGGUCUUGCUGUCACUUAUAGAUGGAUCCGCGCUGCAUUAGCUAGUUGGUAAGGUAACGGCUUACCAAGGCAACGAUGCAUAGCCGACCUGAGAGGGUGAUCGGCCACACUGGAACUGAGACACGGUCCAGACUCCUACGGGAGGCAGCAGUAGGGAAUCUUCCGCAAUGGGCGAAAGCCUGACGGAGCAACGCCGCGUGAGUGAUGAAGGUCUUCGGAUCGUAAAACUCUGUUAUUAGGGAAGAACAUAUGUGUAAGUAACUGUGCACAUCUUGACGGUACCUAAUCAGAAAGCCACGGCUAACUACGUG